UCUUCAACUUAAUUUAGUGAGAUUUCAUAGUCAUCUUGCAGUUCUGCAACCGUGGCAGGCGACAUGUUAUUUUUGGCGAGCUAAUGUUUGUUUUUACAUGUCUUUGAAGGCGGUUGUUGCUGCGUGGCAGGCUGGCUGCGAGAGUCUCCUAACUGGCCGCUUGGUCCCACAGCUUGUCGAUGCUGAAGAAAAUAGAACCAGUUGCCAACCAAGCGGUCGGCACCCGACGUUUCGCUCUGCGCGUCGCCGUACGGUCGCCGAGGAUCCGCAUUUAAAGUUUAAUUCGCGGGGUAUUGACUCCUGCGGCCGCCUGGGUUUUGGCGUUGGUUUGUUUGUACGUUAAUGGUACAAAUUGUUGGCCGUAGACUUGGGUGGCUAACGCCAACUAACGUUAGCUCCAUAACCCGAACUCGUGCGACGACAGCUGUCAUUGGAGAAAGGAAAGUGAUCCCCGCAAAUGCGCGUGCAGCCGACGUGGGGUUCUGUUGGAUUUACAUCGUCCGCCUCCCCAUCAAAUGGGCAAAGUUGGGAAUAACAUUGCAACGUUGGAAUAUCAUGAUAUGCGUGAAGCAUUUGUGAGAGCUGCGGUGUUGCUUCAUUGGAGAGGCUAGCUAACUCCAUUAGCUCGCUAGCUAGCGGGGGGGAUAAAAGUGCGACGUUUCAUCCCCAGUAUUUUGGAUAUGAAGAGGAUAAUUCGCUACUCAUAGGCGCUGGAAGGACAUCUGGCUGUGGCAUCUCUGUCGUAUGCUUGGUGGUCUAAUCAAACUCGAUGGACAUUGGACAACUAUUUGAUUCAAACUAUGCGUCAACACAACGGAAGUCGGAUAUUAUUCUUUGGAUACACUUAAAACAUUAAAUCCACUACGGCAUCACCAUCAGAUUGUGUCAAUUAGCGAAACUAAAGACACUUUACAACACAAAUUACACAUUGCUUUGAAAUGGCAUCCCUUCCAAGGAGGCGUGGGCAUCGUCAUGGCUGAUUUAGAUUCUUGGAAAAACCUGUGAACAAGUCAGAAUAAGAUGUGUUUUUCCUGUUAUUUCUACUCUGAAGAAUUGUCUGUAAUGUUUGAACGCAGCAUUAGUACUAAAUAUUCCAAAAGCAGGGUGACUUUUGGAGAUGUGCCACAGUUAUACUGGGUGAAAAGAAAGCGAUGCGUUUCUCCAGUUUUUAUAGAAUCGGUGUCUAAAAUUCAAAGGCAUUUGUUUUGAGUAAAGGGUUUGGGUUUGUUUCUUUGAAUCAGAAUAACUCGUUCAUUUGCGACGCUUCAAUCAUUUGGGGUAAUAAAACUCAAGUAUCACCAAUCGGUGUCACGGAUCGGAUCGGCACAAAAUAAAAAAGGGAACAAAUGUAACUUUUAGAGAUCCCAAUGACACUUUUUUGCCGAUAACAAUUGUCAAUCAUUGAUGAUCCAUAUUGACAGAUACCGAUGCUUUUGUUGUUUUGUUAUAGCAGCCGGUCUACAAGGCUCUAGACCAGGGGUGUCAAACUCAUUUUCACCGUGGGCCACAUCAGCAUCAUGGCCGCCCUCUUAAAGGGCCGGAAACACUUUAUAAACUCCUUGACCAUAUUGUUAAAUUACUCUCUUUGCAUUUGAUUAUUGUUUAUUUGAGUGUUGACAUAUUGUUCAUAGGAAAAUGUCUCUAAUAUUACAACAUGAAUCCAUUUAAUUUGAAACCUUCAAAAUAAAAGCACGGGACAUUGUUCUUUAAUUUCUUUAAGAAAAAGGGAUCACAUGUCUUUCAAGCCGUUAAGGGCCACAUAAAAUGAUGCGGUGGGCUGGAUUUGGCCCGCGGGCCUUGUGUUUGACACCUGUGCUCCAGACAAUCUGAAGUCAAUGUAAACCAUUACCAUUUCUAAAUGUUAUCCUUUUGUAAUAUUCUCCUAUAGUGGUUUUUGCGUAACUCAAAAUUCAAACGAGCAAAUAAAAGAUUGUAUUUGGCAA